rnacentral:snRNA from 1 species
GUGCUCGCUUGGGCAGCACAUAUACUAAAAUUGGAACAAUACAGAGAAGAUUAGCAUAGCCCCUGCGCAAAUUUUUUUUAAAUAAAAAUUUAAUAAUAAA